GACGAACGCUGGCGGCGUGCCUAAUACAUGCAAGUAGAACGCUGAAGGAGGAGCUUGCUCUUCUGGAUGAGUUGCGAACGGGUGAGUAACGCGUAGGUAACCUGCCUGGUAGCGGGGGAUAACUAUUGGAAACGAUAGCUAAUACCGCAUAAGAGUAGAUGUUGCAUGACAUUUGCUUAAAAUGUGCAAUUGCAUCACUACCAGAUGGACCUGCGUUGUAUUAGCUAGUUGGUGGGGUAACGGCUCACCAAGGCGACGAUACAUAGCCGACCUGAGAGGGUGAACGGCCACACUGGGACUGAGACACGGCCCAGACUCCUACGGGGGGCAGCAGUAGGGAAUCUUCGGCAAUGGACGGAAGGCUGAACGAGGAACGCCGGGUGAGUGAAGGAGGUUUUCGGAUCGUAAAGCUCUGUUGUAAGAGAAGAACGAGUGUGAGAGUGGAAAGUUCACACUGUGACGGUAUCUUACCAGAAAGGGACGGCUAACUACGUG
rnacentral:rRNA from 1 species